GGUUUUAUAAUAUACACCUAAAGUAUGUUUCAGAAUGUCAUUUAAUGGGCAUAACUGCCUUUAAUUACCAUACAACUUUCAACAACGGAUCUCUUGGCUCUCGCAUCGAUGAAGAACGCAGCGAAAUGCGAUAAGUAAUGUGAAUUGCAGAAUUCAGUGAAUCAUCGAAUCUUUGAACGCACCUUGCGCUCCUUGGUAUUCCGAGGAGCAUGCCUGUUUGAGUGUCAUUAAAUUCUCAACCUUUUCAAUCUUUUAUUGGUUGAAUUAGGUUUGGAUGUGGGAGUCUUUUUGCUGGCUUCUUUAAGAGGUCGGCUCUCCUUAAAUUUAUUAGCAGGACCUUUGUUGCCCUCUCAGUGUUAGUGUGAUAAUUAUCUACGCUAUUUGCUGAAAGCAACUCAUAAAAUAGGGUUUCCAGCUGCUAAUCGUCUCUUGUAGACAAUUUAUAGACAAUUGCCUC
rnacentral:rRNA from 1 species